CCAAAUCAAAAUGUGCGCCGCAAGAGGGGGACUAAAAAUGAAAUAUCCCCAUACUGGCCUAACGGCGUCGUUUUAGCGAGAUCCAUGCGCCUGGUUUAUGGACCGAAUUGAAAUAGGAAAGAAAUUUUGUGGCGAAAUUGAAAAGACAUGAAAUAUCGCUUUAAAAUCAAAAUAAAGGAGGAGGGGUCAAACGCGCAAAUAACCCAUUUAAGGCCAGAACGCUCGGACCAUGCUUGCGGGUCGGGUCGACGCGCGGGUCUGGCCUUCCAAACGGCACCGUUUUGUUUUUAAUAUUAAAACUAAAUUUUUUUCAAAAACACAGCCUUAUUUCAUUUUUUCUUUUUCCUUAAAAACAAACAGAGGGAAAAGGGGACUGCUCUGCUAGGGUUUUCUUAACCUAGCCCCCCCAAGCCGCCGCCAGUUCUUCAAUCGCCGCCGCGACUUCACCAGAACCAGUGGUAAGGGUUGAGCGAUAUUGAUUUUUGCUCUAAACCCUCCUCAAGCCGACCCAAAGGCAAGGAUAUUCCUUCCUUUUUUGUUUUAACACUAGUUUAAAAAGAGAAUAGAUAAAAUAGAAAGAACUUAAGAACAAAAAAACACCUUUGAUUUUCUUUUUCUGUUCUCUUUUUGUAUCUUUUUUGCACUCAAUCCCCCCUUUUACAAAUUUUCAUCGGCCUUUAAAUAGCCGAAAAUCAGAAAGAAAAAAUGAAACAAAAAUCUAAAGAAAUCUCUUCUGUUCGUGGCUUGUGGUUUUCAUGACAGGUGUGCGACGACUGCAGCAACGUGGGAAGCGACGUGCUGCGAUGGAGGCGCGUGAGCGGCGCGAUCUGCGGAGGUGGUUGUGGCUUGCGGCGGCUGGAGCGGGGAGGCUACCUAGGGUUUCUGAAAUUUCUUGUUUGGGUUAAUGUAAUUGGGCUGAAUUUUUGGGUUUAGUUUGUAGAUGGGUAAUUGGGUUUGUUGGGCUGUUUGGGUAUUGAGUUUGUAAAAAAUUGGGCCUUUAUUUUUUUGCAUGCGGGCCCGGGUAGAUUGGGCUUAUUACACGAUUGAAUCGUCUUGCUUUUUUAUUUUUUAUUAUUUUUUAAAAUUUUUAGUAUGGUGUUUGAUCCAAGGUAGUCGGUCUAAUAGUUGAUUUAAUUUGAUCCAAAAAAAAAAAAAAUCGAACAGUUAGACAAUUAUUUUAUGACUUUUCAUAGUUAAGUGAUCAAAAAAGAAACUCACCAAUAGUUAAGUGAUUACGAAUGUAAUUCACCCUUAUUUUAUUUACUUGUUUAAUAAAUUAAUAUGAGAAGCAAGAUGAUGUAUGUUACUUGGGAGGGCACUGCCUAGAAUUGCAAGCAACAUAUUAUAAUCAACGUCGAUAAUAGCAGUUGGAAUGAUUGCAGAGCAAUAAGAAAGAAAAAUAAAAACACGUAAAUUUUACAUGGAAAACUCUUACCAGGAAAAAUCACGGGCAGAAAAGGAGAAAUUUACUAUGCUGAAAACACACAAUACAAAAGGAGUUUUGAAUACUUCUAUUUAAGGGUUAAACAACCUUGUUAUAACCAAUGUCUAAUAGAAGAAGUAUAGUCCUAUACGAAUUCAACUUGUGCGGUAUGGUUUGUAUCUCAGGGGUUCGAGCCGGAUCAAACGAGAUUCCGGUCACAUAAUCUAGCACUGAUAAUACUCAAAAUGUAUGAACUUAGACCCAAAAUCAAUGAAAACAAGCUAAAGCCCAACUAGUAUAAAAAUGUUCAAUCAAUGAGUAGGCUAGCUAAUCACUAACAAGUGACGAGAUUCGGGUCACACAACUUUAACACAACAAAAUUAGUUGAUAUUGGUCUCAAUGUCUUCGAGAGCCAUGUUCGUCAUUAGGCUUUGUUUUCUCUACGGCAAACUCGGAUAAAUUCUGAUGCUGAUUUCUAAGUUUGGUUGUAGACUUUCUAUUAGCAUUAGUUAUAAAUUCAUAUGUACUUUCAGAUAUAUCGAAUGUGUGACUUAUUAUUUGUGGAGCUUAUAUGUUAAGAGUGCAUUGUAUCGUCUCUUAUCUCUUCAAAGCUAACAUAUGUAGUUGUUUGUGAGGUGUUAAACGACAUAUUUACGGCUACUUCAAUUUAAUGGAAUGGAAUAAAGUUGUAAUAAGAUAUUUUAAUAAAAAAUAAUAUAUGUAGAAAUUUUAAACAUUAAUAAUUAAAAAUUAUUUCAUAGAAAUGUAUUAUUUAAAUAUAAUUAAAAAUAUAAUAGUAUGAUAUAUUAAUUAUAAAAAUAUGAUUUAUUUUUAAUAACUUUGUAAAUAUUAUAUUAAAGGAUAAUAUUUGAAAUAAAUAAUCUAACUAUUUAUAUUUUUCAUGGUAAAAAAAAAUCACAAUUGGAGUAGUAAAGCAGUAUUCUUUGGCAUAGUUGAUAAGGAUAUGUAGCCAAUGACAAGCUGUGCCUUUCCCCCUUACUAAAUGAGAAAAUUUCGUUUAAGCCCCUCAGUAAAAUAAAAAUAUUUAAUUUAAACCUCUCCAGCCUAUUUUGAUUAUUCUGAAAAAUUAAUAAUUUAAUUAAAUAACUUAAAUUUUAAUAAUUUAUUUAAUCAAAUCAGGGCAAUCGAUCGAAUUGAGAAUUGGUGGUCUAACUGAUUUGGUAAUCAAUUUAGUUGUCCGUGGGAAAUUAUUUUUGGCCCAUUUAAAAUUUCUUUGCUAUCGUUUAUGCUUUUAGGGUUUGAGGUUCAAGUUUUUUAUAUCGGAUUAUUACGGGUCCAAAUAAUUUUUUAUUUUGAUUAAUUAAGAUCCAUUUUGAGUUAUUUAUUCUAGUUAUUUUUGGAUUCUAAUUGUUUUGAGUUCAUUUCAUUUCGAUUUGAAUAAGCAUGAGUUCUAUUUUUUUUUAUAAUCAAUUGGAUUGGAUCAAAAUUUCGGGUUGGAAUUAAUAAACUUAAAUCGAACUACUGUUCCAAAAAUAACUAAUUUUUUUCUAUGUACAAGUCGAAUUCGAUAUUCAAAUCGGGUUACCCUAGAAUCUAUAUCACUGUUAAAAUUAAUUUGUUAUAAAAUUUAUCAUUGAAUAUAAAUAAAAUUACAAUUUUAUUAUAUAAAUAAUUGCUCGAGUCCAACUUAAAUAUAUAAUGGUCCUAAAUAGGCUUGACUCAGUCUCAUUAGAAUAAAGAAUUAAAGAUUAAUUAAAAAAAUUAGAGACAUGUCAUAUUUUUUUUUUUACCUUUUUCUCCUUUUUUUUACAGUGUCAUAUUUUUAAUUCAAUAUUUAUGUGUUAAAAGUGAAUGGUCUAAUUUCAGUUUUAAUCUUAUUAUUAGGCUUAAUUACAAAAUUGGACUUCAACUUGUAUUAUUUUGCAUAAAAUGCACGAGAUCCAAUAAAAAUGUUUCAAAUGUAUAAAUUUUUUGGAUAAAAUGAGUUGAAAUUACAAUCAAUUCUCUCUAUAACAGGCUCGUUUGUCUGCCAAGAUUCUACUAGUUAUAAAGAGGUGGUUGUUAUACACCUACUGUGAUAGAGAUAAUUGUUGUAAAACUUACAAUAGAACUCUUAUCGUGAAUUUUCAUCAGAUAAAGAAACUGAGAAUUAUAUAUUAAAAAAAGAAACUUAAAUCUAACAAGUUCAUUUAAUAACCCAUUAUAAGUUCGGAUCAUAUACGCUCUUUUUGAUACAAUGCCUAGAACUAUCUAUAGCCCCUCCCCGGCCCAUAAAUAAGAAGAUAAUGCGCUUCAGCACACUUGAACCCGCGUCCUUCUGCAUUAACAAUAAUACUCAUGCCAAUCAAGCUAAGACUCAAUCGGCUAAAUUUAUAUCAUUGUUAAUUACUAUGUUAAAGUGAAUUUCCAAGAAUAUUUUAAUGCUAUCAAUGUUGCUAUCAGUUAACUGUUAAAACCGUUAACACUUUAACAUCUACCAUUAACAAUAUUAUCAAUUUCGAUUUAUUAAUAAUAUUAUAAGGGAUCUUUAAAAAAAACUAUAAAAGGGGUUUCGACAAGGAUUAAUUUGAAUAAAAAGAAAUUUUAAACCAGUAAUUGUCGAGUAAAAAUCUCAAAAAGUAAUUUAACCCAAAUAAUAAUAAACAAAGUAAAUUCUACUAGAAGAAUAUAGUAAAAUUUACUUUUAAGUAAUUUUACAUUUCGUGAAUUAGUCGUCCUUUAAAAAUGAAGGGAUCAAAUUUUACCAGAGGCUAAAGCAAUAAUUAAACGGUAUAAUGAUAAAUUUGGUCAUUAAUGUUUAUAUCUUUUUUCAAUUUGACCUCAACCUUUUAAAAUGAGUUAAUUUAACCAUCAACUUUCUUAAAAAAGAAUCAAAUUACUUUUUUUUUUAAUAGAAACGUUGACUAAAAUGUUGAACUUUUAAACAUGGUAGCCAAAAUGAUAAUCCACGUGUACUUCAUGCUUAUUUUUUGAAUUUUUAUAUAUAUUUUUUGAAACUUUUUAUAAUUAUUAGAUUAUUUAUUAACGUGACAUAUAAACAAAUGGUGCUAUAUCAGUGUGAAGCAUAUGUGAAUUGUUACGUAAGUUGUCACAUCGAUAUCAUUUAAUAAAUUAAUAUUUUAAUCAAUAUUUUUACUAAAAAACCCGAUUUAACUACUUUUUAAAAAAUUAACGACCGAAGUUAACUUAUAAAAAAUAUAAGAACCAAACUGAUAAAAAAAUAUCGAAAUAAUGUUCUAUAAAAAAAUCAUACUAUUCCAAAAGCUAGUCAAAGAAAAAAAUAUAUGAAAAUGACAUGAAAGCUGCCCCUUGAAGAAUUUAAAAUAUUUAAUUUCCAGUCAUAUAUAUUAAUUAGUAUAUGCUUAUAAUAAACAUUGAUUUAUAAAAAAAUUAAUUAAGUAUAUGCUUAAACUAAACAAUAAUUUGUUAAUAAAUUAAUCCUUAGUCUACAAAAUGCUUUGAUCAUCACUUAAAAACAAAAGGGUAAACUGUGUUUGUAGUCAUCCAACUAUUAGUAAAUUUUUUUUAGUCACUCAACUAUAAAAAGUUACAAAAUGGUCACUCAAUUAUUCAAAUUUGUUUUUUUUAUUCAUCCAACUAUAUUAAAUUUUUGGGUAUUUCCAUUUUUACGUUAGCUAUAGCUGGUGAAAAAAAAGUCAUCAAACAAUGAAAAGUUACGAAAUAGUAACUCAACUAUUCAUGUUUAUCUUUUUUAGUCACCCAACUAUCUUGGAUUUUUGGGUGUUUUACCGUUUUCAUUUUUAUGUCAUUCAGUUGGAGAUAAAAAAAGACAAAAUUGAAUAGUUGGGUGAUCAAAAAAGAAAUUUACUAAUAAUUGGAUGAAUUCUUUUUGGUCACUCGACUAUAAAAAGUUACAAAAUGAUCACUUAACUAUUCAAUUUUGUCUUUUUUAGUCACCCAACUAUAUUAAAUUUUUGGGCGUUUCUAUUUUUACUUUAGCCGGUUGGUAACCAAAAAAGUCACCAAAUUAUGAAAAGUUACAAAAUAGUAACUCAACUAUUCAAUUUUUUCUUUUUUAGUCACCCAACUAUCUUGGAUUUUUGGGUGUUUUACUAUUUUUAUUUUUACGUUAGCCAUGUGGUGAUAAAAAAAAGACAAAACUGAAUAGUCGUGGUUACCCAACUAUAAAAAGUUAUAAAAUAGUUACUCAACUAUUCAAUUGUUUUUUUUAGUCACAGUGUUGUCAUUUUUACAUCAGCCAGCUGGUGACAAAAAAAGUCAUCAAACAAUGAAAAGUUACAAAAUAGUAACAAAACUAAUUAAUUUUGUCUUUUUUAGUCACCUUUUUGGGUGUUUUACUGGUUUCAUUUUUACGUUAGUCAGCUGGUGAUAAAAAAGACAAAAUUGAAUAGUCGGGUGAUUAUUUUGUAACUUUUCAUAAUUGGGUGAUCAAAAAAGAAAUUUACUAAUAGUUAGAUCAGUAGAAGUGUAGUUUAGCCAUUUAAGUAUAUGGUUAUACUAAACAUUGAUUUGUUAAUAAAUUAAUCCUUGGUCUACCAAAUGCUUUGAUCAUCACAUGAAAACAAAAAUAAAAACACCCAAAGCCGGCACAGCUAACACAACACCUUGUAAUGAUUCAAUGACCGGCCUUCAUUUCUUUUUGUAAUAAUCCCUGAAAUUUCAUGAAAUAAAUCUUCUUCUUCAUAAUUCCAUUGAAGCAACCUUUUUAUGAUUACUUGUUCAACAAGGUAACUUGUUCUUCAUUGUGUUCUUUCAUGGCGGGAAACUAUAGGUUUGCGAUGGAUCAAAAAGAUCUUGUAAGAACAUUGAUUACAACAGUAGGAAGUUUCAUUCAAGAUCGAUUGAUCGAUAAAGAGCAAAGGGUUCAACACAAAGAACAGUGUGCCGAAAGAUUAGCUGCCGAAGACGGAAGCUCAGGGAACGAUGUUGAAGUCCGAUAUUCCGAUCAAGCUGUGUUAGCGAAUCUCGAUUGGGGUAUCGAAGCACUCGAAGAAGCUAUUAAUACGUCAAAUAUCGAAACCAAACAUGCUAGAUUCGAUUAUGCUGAAAAGAUGCUACAAGUAUGUGCUAUGUUGGUUUCAAAUCAAAAAACUGCUGGUGUGCCUAAUUCUUAUUUAUCAGCAUGGGCCUAUUUGAAUCUUUCGUAUUUAUGGAAACUUCGUAACGAUGUUCGUAACUCAGUGAUUUAUGUUCUCGAGAUGUUUAUCGUCGAACCCUUUUUUUCUCGGAUUGAUUUCGCGCCCGAGCUUUGGAAAAAUCUGUUCUUACCGCAUAUGAGUUCAAUUGCAGGGUGGUAUGCUGAAGCUAGGCAUAAACUUAUAAUGGAAGUAGUACCUGAUUCAAAUGAUAUAUCAUUUACUGCUGAUUUAGAUCAAUUUUUCAAUGAAUCGCUGGUUUUUUCGAUGCGGCCGGAUCAAAUCGAGAAGAUGAAGAAACUUGAACAACUUUAUAGCGAAUCAUUAGACGAAAACACACGAUUAUUUGCUAAAUAUUAUAAAGAUUGUAUGAAUUCUGAUUCAGGUUCGGGUGUUAACAAGAAAGUUAUGGCUCCUAUGUUACCGAUUGCCGAGCCACCGAUGACUCCGCUUCAUGAGGUGAGUCGGUCCAUCCCAGAUUAUGUCAAAUUCGGUCCUAUAUUGCCGAAAAGUGCCGGAUUUUCGCCAGUUCUUAAAUCAAAACAUGGUGGAAGAGAAGUAAACAGGUUAGCUUCAAUUACUGUUGAAAAUUAUUAGUAAAUUAUAACAUGUUUCUUAUAAUGUUGAUGUGUACAUUUGGUUAUAGCAGAGUGAACUUAAAUUCUUCGGUUUUUUCGCAUAGUAUUGAUGAUUCUGCAGCAUGGGAUCCUCAAGUAAGAACCUGAAACUUGAAUCUAUCCGAAUAUAUUUCUAUCGAUAAUGAUCGGUUUUUGGUCAUCUUUUUGCUUUUUAGGAUGGUGUACCUGAGGAAAAUGAAGAUGACUCUGAUUAUGAGGCGAUCGGAUCAACAGUUCAACAACCGGUGAAACUUACAAACCAAACUCCUUCCCCGUCGGUUUUUUCUCCUGUUGAUUCACCUAGAACAUCUUCCUCGAAGAAUUCAUCUCCGAGAUCAGAUGUGACUUCUAAAAGGGAAUCGAAAUCGCUGUUGCGCCUUUUAUCGUGUCGUAUUGCAGAUACAAGUGAUGUUAUAUCUUUGCCUAUCUCACCGCGCAAGAGUACUGAUCAUAGCAUAAGCUCAGUGGAUUCGGAUGGUGAAGCGAUAGUAGGUCACAAUUCAGAACGUACCAAAAGUUGUAGGAAGAUUCGUGGUCGGCCUUCGAGUACGAGUAACGAUCAUGUGAACAUUCGAUCAUUGGAACAUAGGUAACAAACUUGUUGUACUAAUGGGUUUUUAUCAGUAAUUUUCUCGUGAUGUUUCGUAUUUUGUUUCGGUUUUGCAGUUAUCAGAACGAAAGUGAUGAAGGUAGUAAUAGCUGCAUUUCGCUUCCUUUAUCUGAGAAGCUUACAUCACAAUCAAGACCGCCGAAAGAUUUCGUUUGUCCCAUUACAGGACAGAUUUUCAAUGACCCUGUUACACUCGAAACAGGACAAACAUACGAACGAAAAGCGAUCGAAGAAUGGCUUAACCGAGGGAGCACAACGUGUCCGAUAACUCGGCAACCACUUUCAUCGAACACAUUGCCUAAAACAAACUAUGUUUUGAAGAGGCUAAUAACAUCAUGGAAAGAACAGCAUCCCGAUCUUGCUCAAGAAUUUUCAUAUUCCGAAACACCGAGGACUCGGUUCAACUCUCCCUUAGGGAAGGAAAUUGUAUUGGUGUCCCCGUCAAAUCGAACAUCCGAGUUAUCGAACAAGGGCUUAGACGAUUACGUAAACCAAAGGGGUAAACGGUUUACACGAGCUGCAGUAGCCACAUCGCCGACCAGUGUUAUAUCUCAAGCUACGGUUGAGACGAUCAUCAAUGGAUUAAAACCGGUUGUAUCGUGCCUAUGUACUUCAAAUAAUUUACAAGAAUGUGAAUCAGCAGUUCUUGAAAUUGCUAAACUAUGGAAGGAUUCAAAAGGUGAUGCUGCAAUACACUCGUAUUUAUCGAAACUGACAAUCGUUAACGGUUUUAUGGAAAUAUUAUCAUCUUCUUUUGACCGAGAAGUACUCCGGGCCUCGAUUUAUAUUCUUUCGGAACUAAUUUUCGGUGACGAAAACAUCGGAGAGACAUUAACAAGUGUAGAUUCUGAUUUCGAUUGUCUCGCCGCUUUGCUCAAAAACGGUCUAGCUGAAGCUGCAGUACUUAUAUACCAACUACAACCCACAUUCGCUCAGCUUUCGUGUUACGACCUCGUCCCUUCCCUUAUACAAAUAAUACUCUGUAAAACUGAAGAAUCCGAUGAUCUUCCACUGAUGAUCAAGCCUAAGGACGCAGCUAUAGCAAUACUUGAACAAAUAUUGAUGAAUGGAGACGAAAAUAGCCGAUCACUCAACGCGUUGAGCAUCGUUUCGGGUAAUGCAAUUCCUUCCCUAGUGAAAUGCAUGCAUAGGGUGGAUUCAAGGAGGUCUAUUAUAUCCAUACUAUUAUGUUGUAUGAAGGUUGAUAAAAGUUGCAAGUACUUGAUAGUGACCGGAACCGAACUAUCGUACGUUCUCGAGUUAUAUCACGCCAGUAAUGACACCAUACGAGGCAUAUGCAUCGAGUUUCUCUCGGAACUGGUUCAAUUGAAUAGAAGAACACUCUGCAAUCAAAUAUUGGAAAUGAUUAAAACUGAAGGAGCUUUUAGUACCAUGCAUACAUUCCUUGUGUAUCUUCAAAUGGCUCCUAUGGAACAUCAACCUGCCAUUGCUACUCUUCUAUUGCAGCUCGACUUACUGGUUCGUUUUUAACAUCGAAAAACCUUCGAAAUUUAACUCGAAAAGUUCGUUUACAUACCAUGUUUUAACUUUUUUCAGGUUGAACCGCGAAAGAUGAGUAUUUAUAGGGAAGAAGCAAUAGAGGCAUUGAUUGAAUCACUUCGAAAAAAGGAGUUCCCGAAUCAACAAACGAUAGUACUCGACGCGUUGUUAUCACUUCCGGGUCGUAUUACUUCUUCAGGCGAGUCGUAUAUUGAAGCUUGGUUACUCAAGAUUGCAGGCUUUGAUCAACCUUACAAUGGUACUCAAGAUUGGACUGAAACAAUGGUUAGUACUUAACAUUAAUGUUGAAAAUCGGUUCCUUUUUGGUAAAAAGACUUUAAUUUUUAGCCUUCAAUGUUUACAUAUUUUGUCAUUUUGAUAUCAAUUCUAAAAAAUUCAAAAAAAUUAACCUCAACAAAUUAGGACUGAAGAGGUCUUUUUACAUUUCUUUUUCCCGUUUUCGAGUCGAUUUCAUGAUAAUCAAAUGUUAAUUGCAGGAAAGUGAAGAGAAAGCUAUAUGUACAUGGGAGAAAAGAGUAGCAUUUGUGCUAUGUAACCAUGAAAAAGGUUGUAUUUUCAAAGCAUUAGAAGAAUGUUUCAAAAGCAAUUCAUUAAAAAUGGCUAAAUCAUGCCUUGUGAUCACUACAUGGUUGAUUUACAUGCUUUCGAUAUUGCCGGAUACCGGUGUCCGAGAUGCCGCUCGUGAAUCGUUGCUCGACGAAUUCAUAAAUGUCCUUCAAUCAUCAAAGAACUUAGAAGAAAAGAUAUUAGCAGUCCUUGCUUUGAAAGCCUUCAUUAAUGAUCCAAGUAAGUAACAUUUACAAUUGCACUAGAUAUAUCAUAUUUCAUUGGCUUAUUCAUAAAAUAAGCCCUCAAACUUUUUCGAAAAAAUCAAUCUAGUUUUUCCGAACUUUUUGCACCCAAAUGAGCCCCAGAACUAACAAAACAGGUCAAAUAGGCCCUUUAACUGACAUAAACUGUUUGAAUCUAGACAAACGGUUGUCUAGUUCAUUUUUCAUUCUAGAAGUUUUGUUAGUUCAAGAGCUCAAAUAGGUGCAAAAGGUUCGGAGGGGCAUAAUUGAUUUUUUCGAAAAAGUUCGAGGGUUUAUUUUACCAAUAAGCCUAUUUCAUUUCCAUAUCAAAUAAUCAUUAACUUUGAAUCCAUUUUAUUCCUAGCUGCCAUUGAAGAACUGGGACAAUAUGCUAAUUGCAUAUACAAAACUUUGAGAAAGCUCAAGAGGAAUUCAUUUAUGGCAACUGAUAUACUAAAAGCUUUAAUGAAUUUAUCAUCUGUCAAUGCAGUAAGUCCAUAAUUUCAUACCCUUUACCAUAUAUGCUAUGAACGUAUCAAACAACUAACUGUUUCCGUAACAUUUUUCGGUUUAUAGACCGAAUUAUGGAGCUAUACCGAUAUCGGCGAAACAGACUCGAGCUCGAAUGGCGAGGUUCUAUGCAUGUCAUAUCAUAAAGGUUGUUUAAUAAGCAGUCAUUCAGAUGGUACCAUAAAGGUUUGAGCCUAACAUGCUUACAUUAACUCGAUAUUAACUCGAUUUCGUCCGAUAACGCGAUAACCGUCAGAUAAAUUCGGUUUUCCGAUAGGUUUGGGAAGCUGGGAAAAGAGGGCUAAGGCUAGUACAAGAAGCACAUGAACAUAUCAAAGGUGUUACAUGUUUGUAUGUACCAUCUUCAGGUGACAGAUUAUAUAGUGGUUCGUUGGACAAAACGAUUCGGGUAAACGAUCUCGUGUUCGGUUCGAUCUUCGAUUUUUUUUGGGGUUCAUAUAUAAAGUGUAGCUUAAAUUUGGUUUCUAUAUGUAGGUAUGGGCAUUGAAACCAGAAGAAAUACAGUGUAUGCAAGUACAUGAUGUGAAAGAGGCAGUGUAUGAAUUGACAGCCAAUGCAAAAUUUGCUUGUUUUGUUUCACAAGGAAAUGGAGUUAAGGUCGGAAUUAGAUUUAUAUCGUAAAAUCGAUAAAGACACCUGUAAUUAUAUAAGAAAAAAAAAAACAAUCAUAAAAGAAGGGUGUUUUCUCUUUUUGCAGGUUUAUAACUGGGCUGGGAUUCCAAAGCAUAUAAAUUUCAAUAAAAAUGUAAGGUGCUUAGCCAUGUCAGGAGAUAAGAUAUAUUGUGGUUGCUCUGGCUACAACAUACAGGUUAGUACACUUUUCCAAUAUUUUUUUUAAUUGCAAUUCAAUUCUAAAAUAUUUUAAAUAUAUUUUUAAUACCGUAAAUGUUAUCUCUAUUUUAAUUUCACCUUCAAUUUUUUUUUAAAUAUAGGGAAUUGAUUCAUUUAAAAAUAGAAGGACUAAUUUGAUUAAGUCCCUAUAAUACAGGGGCUUCCCAAGUACAUUCACCCUUGAGUUUAAGUACAUUUGAGUAGUUUGGAAUAGAGUUGUUUAUGGGCUGGGCCGGGCUCUAACAAAAUUUUAGACAUGAUUGAUAGAUUUGGGCCAGAAAAAUGGGCCUAAAUUUUGCCCAAGCCUAUCCCGGCUGUAUUAACUUUUUUGAAAAUUUUUUAUAUAAAAAACAUAUAAUACACCAAAUACACUAAAAAUAUUAAAAUAAAUAUUUCCCAACAAAUUGAAAAUAAAUUUUAAAAAAGUAUUUAUACUUAAAUAACACUAAGAUGAGUGCAACUUAACACAUAAGACCUUUAAAAUAGUAGCAAAAUUAAUAAUAAAAUAAGUGUUAUACAACAUUCAAAUAUUAACAACAAAAUAGUAGUAACACAAUAGUGAAAUGGUAGCAAAACAGUGGCAAAAAAAUGAGAAAACAAUAGCAAAGCAUGGAAAGACGUGAGCAAAUCAACAUGUUUGUUUUUUAUAGCAAAUUCGGGUCAGGUCAGACCAGGUCAAAAAACUCUACUCGAGGCUCGACCCAUUUUCAAAACGGACUUAUAUUUUUGUCUAGACUCUCCUAAUUUUCAAGCGGGCUCGGCUCGGCCCAUGGACAACUCUAAUUUGAAACCUAAUCAAAUUUCAAGAAAUUGGUUUUUUAUUAAAGGGAAUAAUUAGUUUUUUCAAAAAUUAAUAAUUCAAUUUAAAUUGUUUUAGCUAUUUAUUAAAUGAAAAAAAAAUAAUUUUUUUGCCUCUACCAAAAAUUAAUAAUUUAAUUUAAGUCCUUUUAAAACAAAGUUUUAGAUUUGGCCUCCAAAAUUUUACAAUUUUAUCUCAAUCUCAUGACAAAAUAUUUGGAUCCACCCCGACUAAUUUACUUUUAAUAUAUAUAUACAUUAAAACUCAAAAUCCUAUACUUAAUUAUUUAAAUAAUUUGUACAUGAAACUAGUUCGAGUUUGAGCUUAAAUUCAAGCUCGGGUGUGUAAACCGUGUAAACGAAAUUAAUUAAGUCAAGCUCGAAUAGUUCAAUUUUAUUUCGAGUUGAGCUCGAAUUUUUAUCAUAAUUUUCAAUUGUGCUCAAGCCGACUUUGGAGCAAUGAAUUUCCAAUCAUUCUUGAACUCGAGCUUCUCAGUUCAAGGUUAGCUCGAUGAUGGUCAUAUUUGUAUCUGAUACUUACACCCGAGUUUGUAUAAUAUAAUCCGUUAAAUCUUCCUAAUGUUUAUAUAUAUGUAUAUCAGGAGCUGGACCUGUCCAGUUCUACAUUGAGCACAUUCCAUUUAGGAACAAGAAAAUUGCUGGGGAAACAAACUGUAAAUUCUCUCAACAUACAUGAUGAUCUUCUCUAUGCUGGUGGUUCUACUGUUGAUGGAGUUUCAGGAAAGGUAAUAUUUUAUAUUAUUUACAUUACACACAUGGGUUAAUUCCAUCAUACGUCCCGAAACUAUAAUAUAUAAUUUAAAUUGAUCUCUAAACUUCAAAAUAUUGUCGUUAUGAAGGUGUUUUGUCGAUCAAGUAAGAAAGUGAUGGGAACAUUUCCGACCGGAUUCGACAUACAAAGAAUUGCUGUGAACAAUGACUUCAUAUUUACAGCCACAAAACUUGGGAUGAUUGAAGUUUGGUUAAAAGAAAGGAUAAGUAGAGUUGGUGCCAUUAAAAUGAACAGCAAAGGACAUGCAAAGGUUACAUCUCUGGUUUCAGACAUGGAUGGUGGAAUGCUUUUUGCUGCUUCCUCUGAUGGCAAAAUCCAGGUCAGUCACUAGUUAUAGUUAGAAGUGUCCAUUGGACGAGUCAGUUUUGGGUUCAGGCCUAGCUUAAAUAUAAUUGUUGAGGAGAUCCCGACUUAUUUGGGAGAAGUCUUUAAAGUGUUGUCUUUCGGGGCAAAACCUCGACACAAGGAUAGUACCUUUAUGGGGGUAUGGGUCAGCUACCUGGACGGCGACACUUCGAAGACUUGUCCUGAAGGAGCCGACCCCUUCAACAAUGACAUUAACCCACUUUAUGCUUGUCUAAGCUUGGCUCAGCCCAUAAGUUUGUCCAUAUUUAUAAAUGGUUAACGAAAACCCAUUUUAGGUUCACUCAUAUUAUUCUUUAAAAGUAUAUUUAUAUAUUAAUUAAUCUCACUAUUAUACGAUUAAAAGAACAAAAUAAGACUAAACUGUAAAAGAGUUAACACUUACUAUUUAAAAAAUGACAAAAAUUAUUAUUUUUUUUCAUUUAUAGUUUAAAUAGUAAAUGAUAUUUUUCAAGGCGGACAAUAGUCGUAACCAAGAGAGGUUUGGAAAUUUUCAAUAUUCCUUCGAAUUCUUUUUGAAAAUUUUAAUUAAAUUCUCCAAAAAUUUUUGGUGAUUGUCAUUAAUAUCACAAAAUUUUUUAAAAAAUUAAUUAGAACCUUCAAUUUUUCUUAAAAAAUAAUUAAUUCUCAUCAAACUCUUAAAAGUUCUGAAAAUCUUAGUUAAACCCCUCAAAACUUAGUCUCGAGAUCCAUCAUUAUUUUUUAAACAAUAAUUGUUAACUCUGUUGAAAUUUCAUUUUUUUUCUUUUUAAUAGUACAAAUACUAAUUGAUUCAAUCAAAAAUAGAAAAACUAAUUUGAUUCAAUCCUUAUAAUAGAGGGACCUACUAUGAAAUUUUCCUUUUUCUGGUGCUCAUUCAUUCUUUUUUUUCGUUUUGGGCUAUUUUUUUUUUAAUUAUUACAGGCUUGGGCUCUGGACUAAACUGGGUUUCUUUUUGUAAAGAAGAAUGAUUAGCAAUCGAUCAACAAAAAAUCUUAAUGUUUGGCAUUUGUUAUGUUAGUUUUUUUUAUUCUUGUAAAUUUACAAGAGGCAGCAAAAGCCAACAUUUUGUAAAUUUUUGUUACAACCAUCUAUCUCUUGACGAGUCUAUAGAAUGCAAAUGAUUAGUCACUAGGCUCGUUCCGAUAGAUGCUUUGAGAAAUAAAAUAAAAAAAUACUACUACCGUUAUUCAGUUCAUUAAAGUAUUUCUUAGCGUUUUUUAUCUUGUUUUGUAUGAAGCGAUUUUGAACCGUGUGAUAUCCUCUGCCCUCACCCCAAUAUAAAACAAAAUGAUUGUUUUGUAUGACCAUUUGGAUAAAAUUUUAACGGGUUAGAGUUAAAUCAUUAUUUGGUGUAUGAUCUUGGUAACUACUCUCGUAUUGGGUUUAAACAAUUUUUUUGUCCAACGUAGUUUUUGAAUUUAACAAUUGUUUUUAUAUUGAAGUAUAAAUUUUAGGGUUUUAUAGGAAAUAUCGAGAAUUAACUUGGAUAAAAAAAGUUCAAGCCCCAAUAUAAAACAAUUAUUAAGUUUAAGUCCUAAAGCUUAAUCUCGACACCAAUAAAUUUUAAGAUAAUUGUAAUGUCAUUUUAUUAUAUCUAAUUUCUUCGAGCAUCCCACAAAAAGAAAUUGUACUCAUAAAUACUAAAAUUUUAAUGAAAAUUAAAUUGAUAAAAUUUUCGAUUUUCAAUUCAACUAAUUCAGCCCGUAAUUAAAUUUUCUCCUUUACUCAAGCCAAAAUUUUCUCUUUUUUUAUUUAUUUAUUAUCUCUCUCUAUUUAUUUAUUUUUAAAUAAAUUUGAAUGAUUCAACUAAGCGCAAUUUUAUUAUAAAUUUCAAAUUAUUCUUCUCUUUCAAACCUUUUCUUCUUAAAUCACUUUUUAAUUUUUCAUAUUUUCAUCUCUUCCAAUCUCGAUAUUGUUCUUCAAACAUGGUAUUACUUCAUUUUCUUUUAUCAUAAUUUGAUUUCAAUUUUUUUAAAAUACAAUCUAUUUAGAUAAAUAAAUAAAUAAAUAAAUUAUAUAUUAUUGAUCUGUUAAUCGGGUAAGGUGGAGAUGAUAAUGAGGAAAUACGGUUCACUUUACUUGCUACAAGGCGGAGAGCUACUGUUCACGGUGAUUAAAAAAGGGGAUGAGAAGAUGAGGGGAGAUGAUCGGAAGAGAAAGGAGAGAAGAAGGGGUAGAGCUUGCCUCUGACUCCAAGCUUCGAGCCUUAUAUACUCUUAGCCUUAGUCUCGAGGUGCCAUGAUCUCAGGGGAGAAGUCAGAGAAUUUGUUUAGGAGGAGUCGAAUUUAAAUUGUAAUUUUUACACCAUUUUAAUAUCCUAUGUCUUUAUCAUUUUUAAAGGAUUAAAUCAAAUUUUUAUUAUUUUUAAGGAGUCAAAGUGUAAUUUUAUCUUUACCAAUUCAAAAUUUUAAAAUUUUCAAAAAUUUUCUAUUUUAAACAUCCCUUCAUGAUCUACUACUAUAGGCUUUUGUACAGAGGUUUAAAGACAAGUGAUCUGUUACCAUAGACAUCUGUAGGAUGGCAACAAGACGUGCUUUUAGUUAUAUUGGAUGGGACGUGAUAAUUGAAGUCUGAAAUGAUGGUUAAAGAGUGAACUCUCUUUAGUAUUGAGUCAGAGUAUUUAUGAAAAAUGCUUUUGAGGAGUUUUUUUCUUCAGAAGGUUCAUUUAAACUACUCGCGAGUUUAUUGCUUAAUUCUAAUCGAUAGAGUAUAACUAAACUUGCUCAUGGGUCGGGCCGUCAAAAAAGUGAGAGGGUUAGGACAAAAAUAUAAAUUUGAAAAAUGGGCUUGGGCAAACAAAUAAGACCCACUUUCUAAACCGAUUGGGCCUCAAGUAAAUUUUUUUUGCCCGAGCCCAACCAGACCCAGCUUUGCAAAAAAGAAAAAAACUAUUGCUGUUUUUUACUAUUUUUUCCUCUCUUUUUUUUUGCUAUAAUUUCGCUAUUAUAUUACUAUUAUUUUAUUGUUAUCGUUUAGAUAUUGUAUAACUCUUAUUUUAUUAUUAAUUUUGCUACUAUUUUAGAUGUAUUUAUUUGUUAAGUCGUACAUAUCUUAAUAUUAUUUUAGUGUAUUUGAUGUAUUAUAUUUUUAAAUUUAUUUUUAUAUAAAAAUUAAAGGCGAGUCUGGCCAGACUCAAGUUUUAGCACUUAAAUUUUUUACUUGGGCUGGCCCGAUCAUAAUUUGCUAUUUUUAGCACAAUACUUAGAAUUACUCAUAGCCAUUCUCUAACUUACAAAUAGGAAGAUAAUGCACUUCAACGUACUUGAACUUACGUCCUUUUGCAAUGGCAACCAUGCCAUGCCAAACAAGAUAAGACUGAAUCGAAAAAUUAUACUUAUUAUUUUAAAUUAAUUAUUUUAUAAUAUUUUAAAUUAAUUAUGAUUUAGAGAUAUAAAGUAAUUAAAACUGUAGUUGGUGCUAUAAAUAAAAUAUUAGCAUCAACAUUAACUUUACAUCACAAAGUGAGAAAACGAGUCACACACAACUCACACAAACCGAGUCAUAUUUUUUCACACGAACAACACGUGUUUCGUUAAAAAUAAACACUGUAAAUUUCACUUUCUCUGUAAAAUAAAUAAAUAAAACUCCAAAAUUUCAAUCAGCCAUCUCCACCAUAUAUCUCCUCCUCUAAAUAUGCUUAGACGGUGUCGGUGAUCUCCUCCUCCGCUCAGAUUUUUUAGCCUUCGAUUUUUUUAUUUCCUUUUGUUCUUUAAAGAUCCGUUUCACUGGUUUUCGGAUCUAUUUUUUUGCACCGAAUCCGAUUCAGAUCGGAUAAAAAAUGGCAGCAUCGAGACGAUUACGUGAUCUCCAAUCGCAGCCGGGUAACAAGACUUGCGUCGAUUGCAAUCAAAAGAAUCCUCAAUGGGCAUCGGUUUCGUACGGGAUCUUCAUGUGUUUGGAGUGUUCCGGUAAACACCGUGGUUUAGGUGUUCACAUCUCGUUCGUCCGAUCUGUUACUAUGGAUUCGUGGUCUGAGAUCCAGAUCAAGAAAAUGGAAUCGGGUGGCAACGAACGGCUUAACGCCUUUUUGGCUCAGUAUGGGAUCCCUAAAGAAACGGAUAUUGUUGCUAAGUAUAAUACUAAUGCCGCGAGUGUUUAUCGAGAUCGGAUUCAAGCUUUAGCUGAAGGUCGUCCGUGGCGGGAUCCACCGGUUGUGAAAGAGAAUCUCAACGAAGGUGGUAGUGGUGGUAUUAGGAAGCCGCCGUUGAGUAGUGGCGGUGGUGGUGAUAGGAGAAGUAAUUUUGCAGGGGAUAAUGGAGGGUGGGAUAGUUGGGAUAAUGAUGAUUCGUUUAGAUCUAGUAGUGAUAUUAAGAGGAACCAAUCGGCGAGUGAUUUUAGAGGAGGGAGUUAUCAUAAUGGUGGUAGAACGGGAGGUGCUCCGGUGAGGUCGAAGUCCACGGAGGAUAUGUACACGAGAUCUCAAUUGGAAUCCUCGGCGGCUAAUAAGGAGAGCUUUUUUGCGAGGAAAAUGGCGGAGAACGAAUCCAGGCCUGAAGGUUUACCACCUUCUCAAGGAGGGAAAUAUGUUGGGUUUGGAUCGACUCCCAUGCCUACCCAAAGGAUUAAUAAUAGUUCUCAGGGUGAUGUGUUCUCUGUUGUUUCUCAGGUUAAGAGAUUUUUUCUUUCUUUUUGCUGUUCUCCUUAGUUGAGUUGUUCUCCCCCCCCCCCUCCAUUUUUAAUUGGUGAUAAAAAUUACUUAUUGGCUUAUUUGUGUUUGGUGCAGGGGAUUGGGAGGUUAUCUUUGGUAGCUGCAUCCGCUGCAAAUGUUGUCCAAGCAGGGACGAAGGAGUUCACCUCCAAGGUAUUUUUGGGAAUUUUAAUUGUGAUUGUAUUGCAUGUUGAUAUCUUACAUUGAUUAGUGAUGAUAUUCUCUGUUGUUGAAUCCUUUUUUAUUGAUAUUUGGAUGUUAAAGCUUCUUUUAGAUGUGUUGACAUGGUUUAUCUUUAUACGGUUAUUUGAUAAAUUGUUUUAGACUAUAUGAUUUUAUACAAGAUGCAUGAUGAACAAUCACAAUCCUUAUUUGCUCCAUCAUUAGGCCCCGAAUGGUAUGUGAAAAUACUUGAUGUAUAUAGGACCUAAUGUUUAAUAUACUAUAUUGAAUAGCCGAUUGAGCCUUAGCUUAGUUGGCAACCUCUUUGUUAACAAGGAGAAUGUGGGUUUGCACAUAUGCUCAUUUUAUUUUUUGAUUGACGGGUGAGGGAGUUUAUGGGUAGUUUAGGUUUUGUAUAAAAAAUGUACUAUAUUGAAUAAAAUAUAUGUAAAUAUAAUCAAAAUCCUUAAUUAAUUAAUUAUUUUUGUUUCUAUAACCAAACUAGGAGAGAAAGAAAAGAGAGCAAAACAAAAAAGAAAAAAAGAGGAAAUUGUAGCUGCAAGUUUCUCUUCCAAGUUAAAUUCUUUGACUUCAACUAUGCCCCUCAAUCAAUGGGUUAAAGUUUGUCAAUAACAGUUUAAAUGUUUAAUUUCAGUUUAUUGCUCUCGUAGUAUCUUGUUUAAUUUCCAAACUAAAGAUAAGUUAAGUUUCACUCUAUUUGACCUAUUUUUCGUUUCUUAUUAAUUUACUUUUUUCUGCAAAUUAAAGUUUCCAAAGGCGCUGUUAGGGUCAAAGAUGCUCCUUUAACUUGCUGGACAGCUGGAAUGCAAUAUUCUUUAUUUUUUAAACCACUAGGCUGCUUGAUUAUGACAGUUCCAUGGAAAAAUAUAAGAACUGAUUAGAAUUGUAUAAUUUUUUCUUUAUAUUUCUUCUCUUUUCAUAUUAUUUAUUAUUCAUAUUUCUUAUUGCUUUGCUAUUAUAGAAUAUAGCUGCUGCAAAAUAACAUGUUUUUUAAGUUUUUUGGUUACUAUUUUAUGGUAUAAGAUAUAGAAAAAAAUCAGUUGAACAAAAGGCAUAAUUGCUUUUUAAAAAGUAACAUAAAUAGAUUAAAAAGAUAAAAUAACAUAUAGAAAUGUAAAAUAUUAUUAAUAAGAAUGAUAUUGAUUGAACUAUGACGUUACUAGGUAGCUUGGAUAUAAUUAUGGGAGAAGUUAGUGUUUAAAUGAUAAGUUAUACCAAAGUAGUACAAUAUAUCAAAUCCUUUUACAUAUUGGAAUCUUUGAAAGAGAGGUCUAUUGGGUUGUAAUUUUAUGAUAGAAGGUGAAGUAAUUGCAUUUAAAAAUGUAACAUAAAUAAGAUUGAAAAUAUAAAAUAGCGUAUAGAAAUAUAAAUAUUUAAUGAUAAAAAUUGUGAAGGAAGAUUUGCUCGCUAGAUUUAUGAAAUUGAGAAUCCUUUCUUAAUUAAAAGAAUGAAAUUAAUUAUGUCAUUAUUAGGUAUCCUGGAUAUCAUUGUGGACAAGUUAUUGUUUAAAUCUUAAUUUAUACAAAAGUAGUACAAAAUAUCAAUUCCUUUUACUGAUUGGAAUUUUUGACGGUCUAUUGGGUCAUAUUGUGACUCUUGUUUUGGGAUUACCUGGGUUAAUUUUGGGCUAACUUCUUGAUGUUACGGUUAUAGCUUGAUGGUUUUGAUCUUUUUGUUGCUAUAUAUACACGGGCUUCGGUUUCUAGAAGUAGAUACACAAGGCAGGAAUAUGAUGCUCCCUCAUUUGCAGGUUAAGGAGGGUGGCUAUGAUGCCAGGGUUAAUGAAACGGUUGGUGUUGUCACUGCAAAGACGAGUGAAAUUGGCCAGAAGACUUGGGGCAUGAUGAAAGGAGUCAUGGCAAUAGCUUCACAGAAGGUUGAGGAAUACACUAAAGAUGGCAUGAACUGGAAAAAUGAUGGUAACUGGCAACGAAACGAUAGCGAGAAGAAUGGAUAUUAUCAGGAGUUUAAACAGGAGAAUAAGGGAUGGAAUUCUACUUCUGGUGGACAAACCUCCUCUGGUGUAAAUUAUAAUUCUUAUAACUCAAAUUCUUGGGAUGAUUGGGACACAAAAGACAAUAGGAAGGAACAUGCUACAAAAGUGACUGCUUCUCAUAGCAAUGAUGGUUGGGCUGGUUGGGAUGACCCCAAGGAUGAUGGAUAUGAUAGUUUCUAUAAUGGUGCAUCUGAUAAAAAUGCCGUUGGUCGCAAUGGAAAAUCAGAUGCCGCAUGGACUGGUGGAGGCUUUCUUUAAGGUUAGUUUCUUACAUAAUUCCCCUUCACAUUUUAUUGUUUUAUUAUAGUGAAUGUACUUGAGAGGUCUCUCUAUUAUUGGGGACCUGAUUAAAUUAGUCCCUUCACUAUUGAAUGGAUCAGUUUAGUCCCUAAAGAAUCAAAUAAGGCCAAAUUGGAAUAGGGUUAACAUUUAUUGUUUAAAAAAAUACCAUUUACUGUUUUUAAAGUUUUUAUGUUUCUGUAAAUGAAAUCUUUUAUUUGGAAUUGAAAAAAGAAAUUUAAAGACAUUGUUUUAUACAGUAAGGCCGUGUUUGAUAAGUCACUGAAAAAAUUAAAUCAACGAAAAUUAAUAUUUUCAAGGAUUUAGUUUUUUAAGCAUGUUUGAUAAUCCAAACUAAAAAACAACUGAUAGAAUUUUUCAAUAAAAAAGAGUUGAAAAGAAUAAAUGGAUAGAGAGCUACUGUGGAAUUUUUUUCAAUUAUUUUUAACAUUAUCCUUUAAACAUUUUACCUUUAAAUUUUUUUAAAAUUAUAAUUUAUCAAACAAUCUAAUUACAUUUCGUAUUUAAUUUUAAGUAAUAUACCAAAUAGAUUUUAUAACUUAAAUUCAGUACUUAAUUUUUACAGUAUAGGGACUGAAUUGAUUCAUUUGAUUUAGUCUUCACAAUGUGAUGGUGUUUUGUUUGAGUUCCAAGGCAUAAAUGCGACUACUUUGAUGUGUGGGCAGGUUGGUGAACUUGAACUACAUUUAUGAGAAUCGUACCCCACAAAAGGUAAUUUAGAGCACAAUGGAUUCCUUAAGGGAUAAUGAUAUUAAAUUUCAUGAAGUUCGUAUACCUUUUAGCAAUUUACCCCUUUUUCUUAUGUAUCUAUCUUUGAAAUUUUCACAAAGUAAUUUCUGGAGCAACUUUCAUGUUUGAGAGUAGUUUUAUCAUAUUUGUAAAACUGUGGACAGAAAGGGCUAAGUGCCCAAUUGGAAAGCAGUAUUUGUGAGUGUGAGAAAACAGUAUUUGUGACAUGAAACUUAGUAUCAUUUGUUCUUAAUCAUGAUUAUUUUUUAUCCUUUUGUUGUGUGAUUUGUUUUAUUUGGUGAUUGUUUAAAAAAUUUAUUAAAUCCAUUUUUAGUUGAAUUUUUGUAUACACAAAUUCCACCCCCAUUAACAUUUAAUUGAGGUGGAUUGAAUUAUAACUCAAUUCUUACUUUUGACGUCAGACACAACGAAAGUUUUUGUAUUAAGAAGGAAUAAAUUGGUUUUAUUUUAUUAAAAAUUAUUUAUUUAAUGUGGUAUGUGAUGUGCAAAAAAUUUUAAAAAACAAAUUAACAGAUUUAAGCAGGACAGGUAAAAUGUAAUAAAUAAUAUUAAAUUUUAACAUAGAUGGUUUUAUUUAUCAACAAGCUUUUAAUGCAUUAAAAAUAUUCCUUUGCACAAACCUGGGACUGGCUCUACUUGUUCCUACCCAUAUCAUUAUACCUCUCCUAAUUUAGCAACAAGGUUUUUGUUUAUUCUUCUUAUCGACUACUGACCUCAAUUCCUAUUAUACAACCUUUGAUAUCUCCCCCGUGCCUGCAUCCCCAUCUCCCUUAACCAUAUCAUGUUCAUUUUGUUCCACCUUUGCCACCGGCAUUUCCUCCGCAUGCACCGUAUCGUGUUGUUGGAUUACCAACACCGACGACGUAACACGGUGACUUGACGAUGCCAGCAAGUCCCCUAUCGGCCCUAAUUCAGCAUGCUCAGCUUGACGGUCGGCUAAUUUCGCCACCAUUCGUGAUGGGAACCGCCCUUUUCCGACAACUAUAAGAUCAUAAUCCCCACUUUGUCCUAGUCCCAACACUUCCUCAACAAUGUUGCUACUUGUCUUCUCUAUAUACUCCACCAUUCCAUCCCACUUGCUUCUAAAUUCUUCCACUACAGCAUCAUCUAAUUCCUGGUUAAGAAAAAAAAAGGGGUACGUUUAGUAAUUUUAAAUAUAAAUUUUAUGAUUAAAUUGGAUCAAAUCUAUGAUCAGGUAAAAAUAUCGUGAAAGUAAAUUACUAGUCCUUGUAAUCCAAUAAAUUGUUGAAAACCGUUCAAAAUGAGUAAAUUUACGGUAAAAUUACCAGUUUUUUAGCUGUUAAAUUAGAUCAGAAGAAAUGGGCACCGAUUUUUAACUGUAAAAUCCAUCUAUUUUUACUGUUAAAAACAUUCUAUCAAUUUCUUCUGAUCCUACUCAAAAAAAUGAGAAAAUUAGUCUUUGUACGUUAAAUCAAAAGAGCAAACUGGUCCUAUUAAAAAUUUCAUCCAUUUCUCCUAUUAAAAACUAGUUCCUGUAGGUCAGUAUAAGGUACACAUGGCCCCUUACGUGUAACCAUCCGGUUAUUCCGUCAACCAUGCCAGUUUUUAAUAAUAUAAAUGGAUGAAACCUUCAACAGAAAUGACCAAUUUAUAGGAACUAAUUUACCUAUUUUUUUUUUUGAAUAAAGAAAAUAAAAUGCAAUUUGACUCCCGAGUAGAGGGACUCCAUGGUACCUUUUCUUUUUCAGUGUUGAUAUGGGCAGUAGAGAAGCUAUAAUACUUUUCAGCACACUUGCUAGCUGAAGGCUUCAAAACAACACCAUGACUUUGUAACCCAUCUUUUUCAAUGAAUCUCACAACACUCACUUUAACAGCAGGGUGUUCAGCUAUCCUACCACUUAAUUCCAAAGCUUCUCUAUCAUCAGGCCCCCCAAAGAACAGAAUACAAACCCUUUGAGCACCAUUAUCAAGCCCACAGUCCACUAGUAUAGCCACUGAACAUGGUGCAUUUUUUAACACCCUUUGGUUAACCAAUCUCCACCCAUGUCCAACAUUAUCAAUCACUUGCAAGUCACCUUGUCCCCUCCAUUGUUUAUGAAAAGGUAAAAUUAUCAUUGUAACCCUUUUAGUCUCAGCUACAUGGCAAAUAUCUUCAUGGAUAGUGGACAAAGCCGAGAUAGCCGUACUAGGUCGAACCGAGACUCUACCUAAUUGACUAUAAGCUUGAAAAGCUCCGGUAAUCCGGUCUUGCCAAUCUCCUCUUCUAAGCCUGUUAAUGAAAGGAAGCCCAUUUUUUCUAGCCCGAUGGACCAUUAUGAUUGAAGAUGAACGUUCAGUGAGUUCAACUAAGUGCAUGAUGAAAAGCUUGAGUUGGGAUUUCUUUGUGCUUCUGGUUGAUUCAAUGAGACUUAUGAUUGAUGGUACGUUGCUAAUACCAUGGAGACAAGCUAGGACUCGGAGUUGGUCUUUCGAUUCGUCGGUGUUGGUUAAGUCGCGGAGUUUACGGUGAGUGAGGACGGAUGAACCUCUCGCCGGUUUGUAAAUGGCCAUAACGGCUGGGGUUGUGAUGAAGGUAGUGAAAAGUGCCAUGAGAACUAAUAUAGCAAAGAUUUCAUCAUUUAGUACCUGCAAUUUCAAUAUUGAAUGAUCAUCAUUUUUCUAAAUAAAAAAUUGUAUCUAACAUAUUAUAUUAAUAUAUACAUUUAGAUAUUUCUUAUGAUUUUUAAAAUGUUGCCAUUUAAGCAUGAAUUGAAGUAUGAAAGGUUAAGCUAACUAUUGAUAGAUGCCAAUACACCAACAGGUCACUAACCAGAAAGGUUGACAAAUAGCUACUCUUUCAUGUGAGUGAAACUACUUUUAUGGAUACCUACACAACACAAUAGGUUAGAGACACCACUAUCACCUAACUCAUCCAACUUAAUUUCGCGACGUCGAUAUGAGGUAAACACCCAAAACCCUGAAUUUGUGUUUUAAGGUGAUGGGUAUAUUUUCUAUUUAAAGCCAGGGUAGUUUCAUCUUUUCCAAAUGAAUUGGUAUACACCAACUCAGGGCUUUAUAGUAUCUAAGCAUAGAUGAGUAUAUAUACAUAUAAUUUUUUAGAGUAAACUACACUCAAUGUCACUAAAUUAUUAGUAAGUUUACAUUCUGGUCAUUCAAUUUUAAAAAAUUACAAAAUGGUUACAGAACUAUUGAAAGGUUUUCAUUUAACCUGGGUUGUUAAGGUCUUUUUUUUUUAAAUUGAAAGUUUGGCUAUUGAGUUCCAAGCAACGAUUCGAUGAUCAGUAUGGUGGAUUAGUACUAAUCAAUGAGUAAAAGAACAUACCUAAUAUCCAAGUCGAUUUGAUGGUCAGUGUCGGAGAUCAGAGAAAAAAACUAUUUGAAUUUUGGUUCGCAAAUUCAUGAAGUUCAAAGUUGUUUCAUAAAAAAAGUUGAAUUAUAAAAGAGAAGGGGAAUGAGAUCUUCCGAUUGGUGCCAGUGGUGCAAACAGAGAAUGUUAUACAAUAGUAAUUUUAAUAAAAUAAUGACUAAAAUAAAAAAUUUUGAAUAGUUUAAUGACUAUUUUGUAACUUUUUGACAUUCAAUGAUUCAAAUGUAAACUUACUAAUAAUUUAGUAAUCUUGGAUAUAAUUUACCCAAUUUUUAAGUAUUAAAUCCAAUCAAAAUCUAUAACAUAGUUAAAAACAAGAUACAUGUAGAUACGGACACCUAAGAAAAUGGCACGACUCUCGUAUAUUAGUUUUUUUUUUCUCUAGGAAUCUACCUGAGUAAGUUCAGUCACUAAUCAAAUACAUUUUGUAGGCUCAUUAAGAGGUAGAUGCUAGCCACAGGUGAAUGGAAACUGCCCACUGAGAUGGAAGGAAGAGAAAGAAAAGGGUAAUUUAUGUUUUGGAUCACUAGAUUUAGCACAACUUCCAUUUAGGUCAUAAACUUUUAAUUUUGUUAAAUUACUUAGUUGAACUUCUAUUAUUAAUAAAAUAAGGAUGAUUGGAUUUAGUACAACUUUCAUUUAAGUCAUAAACUUUUUAAUUUUAUUAAAUUACAUGGUUGAAUUUCUGCUAUUAAAAAAGUAAAUCACUUAUUCUACUUUUAUUAAAUAAUUCUAAAAAGAAUUAACUUAACAUAUAUACAUGAAUUAACUUUUAGAUUUGAUUGUCGACAAAAUAAUUUUUUUUCCUUUUCAGCUCCCCUAAAAUAGAAAAUUUUCCAUUUAAACCCUUUAAAUUUUUUAAAAUUUUAAAAUAAUAAAGGUAAAAUUGCACUUUAGCCCCCUUAAAAUGAUAAAAUUUUGAUUCUAUUCUUUAAAAACUAUAAAGAUAUAGGCUAUCAAAAUAGUGAAAUUGCAUUUUUACUAUUGUAAAAAUUACAAUUUAAUUUCACCUCCUUCAAAAAAAAUUUCUAGCUUCGCCCCUGACCAUAAAGUGCAAAUAUGAAAAAAUAAUAUUUAUAAAUUUGUAGAAGGGGGUGCUAAGUUAGUAUUUAUGUUAGAAUUACUUAUCAGAGACUAUUUAAAUUAUCUAAUUUAUUGACAAUAAUCUUUUCGGUGAUAUAAUUUGAUGAAUUGAAAAUUGUGUAAUUUACAUGAAAGUUGAUAAUAAGUUUAGUGAUUUAAUUUGAUGAAAUUAACUGUGUAUAACUUAUAUGAAAAUUGAUGUUAAGUUUGAUGACUUAGAAUGUAAAUUACCCCAAAGGAAAAAAGUAAAUGAGAGAGGUAUAUAAAACUAGGCUCGACCGUCAUGAGCAUUGUUGUCAAUAUAGGAGGACGUGGGUUUAAGUGUGUAGAAACGCAUUAUCCUCCUAUUUAUGAAUUGGAGAGAGGCUACGGAUAGUUUUAGAAAUUAUAAAAUACAUUAUUAAUCUACACUAUAUAUAUGCAAAAUUAUAAAGGAACUUACCUUCUUCUCUUUGCCAAUGUUGAGAACAAUGAGUUCAACUAAUCCUUUAGUAUUCAUUAAAAUCCCAAGCGCCAACGAUUCUCUGAUAGCCAUUCCGAACAUUAACGCCACCGCAAACGUUCCUAUAAUCUUACCGGCGCACGCCGUGGUUACAACCAGUGCCAAUAAUCCCCAAGCUUCCCCACCUUUGAUUUUCGCCACAUCGGUUUUCAACCCACUAGAAGCAAAAUAAAGUGGAAGAAGCAAUCCCGUUACGAAGUCUUCAAUCCUUUCUAUCAAUUUCUCAGCAAAAUCACCUUCUUUAGGAAUCGUUAAUCCAAAGAUAAAAGCACCAAAGAUUGCAUGGAUUCCGAUAAGGUCAGUGAUGAAACCGGAGACCAUUACACCACCUAGUGUUAAACAAAUGUAAGCUUCGUCGAUGAUGUCUCGCUCCGGUGAACAACGGUGAGCGACCCAUUUCAUGGCUGGUCGGAUUAGUACCAUCAUGAAAAUGACGAAAGCCAUGCCGGAGAGAAGGAUCCAGAUUGAUAUUAAUGGGCUCUUUUGUUGACCCGACCCGUUUCCGGCUAUAGCGACGGCGAGUGCUAGUAAUAUCCAUGCGGCUACGUCGUUGAAAGCGGCGGAUGCCAUGGCGAUUUCACCAACUUGGGUGGUUAAUAAUUUGAGUUCGGCUAAGAUACGUGCUAGGACUGGGAAAGCUGUGAUGGAAAGUGCUACUCCCAUGAAAACUAUGAAUUGACCGUACCCGACUUUAUCGGCUCCGUCGACGGUUUUCCGGAGGAUAAACGCCACGCCAAAGCCGCAGAUGAAGGGUAAUGAUAUGCCACAGAAGGCUAUACCGAACGCUUUACGGCCACUACGACGGAUUGAUGUUAAAUCGAGCUCCAGACCUACUAAGAAAAGGAAGAAAAGCAGUCCAAUGCUCGCUACCGUUUCAAGCACCGGCAUACUCCAUGACGGAAAUAUCCGAUGCAUGUAAUCUUCGUUUCGACCAAAAGCUGACGGUCCAAGAAGAAUUCCCCCCUGAAAUUAUGCUUUACAUUAUUCAUAUUUGUUCUCCAAUUUAAGAUUUCGACUUAUGAUAAAAAUAAUCAUUGUAUAACAGAAAUCAAAUUCCGUCAAUUUUUAAUUAAAAAUAUUGAUUUAAUAAAUCUAAUUAUCAACUUAACAUUCAUGGAUUCAAUCAAUUAAAUUAAUUUUGCAUUCUUCUUUUGUUUCCUUCUAAAUAUUGACUUAAUCUGUUUAUAAAAUUGAAUAACUGAUCAUAAUUGAUUUAAUCGAACCGAAAUCGAUAAAAUAAAAGGUUAAAAUAAGUAUACUUACAACAAUUUCAGCAAUGACUUUAGGUUGACGAAGGGGUUUAAGAAGGAAAGCUAGGAAACGACUAAGAACAAGGAUUAAAGUAGUUUGAACUAUUAACAAAGGGAAGGCAAAAUUGAGUGGAUUAUCACCUUGCCAAGCUCCAUUUGAUGAGGUUUUAAUGGAGGUAAUGUUAAAACCCAUUUUGUUUUGGAUGAAAACAAGUUCUAGAUUGGGUCUAAUUUGUUCAUCAAGUAGAAAAAAAGGGAGGUGAUUUUUCUUUUUGAAGAGAUUUGAGAAAAUUAAUGGAACAUGUGAAGAGGAGAGUGGGAAUUUAUAAGCACAAAGGAAGGUGGUGGCAUGAUAAGGUGGCAUUGUUAAUUGACUGUCAAUUGUGUCCAAAUUUCUAGGGGAUGGAUGUCAUGGGCUUAAAAGAUGCCGUCAAUUGCACUUUUAUCCACAUGAUUCAAUUAGUAAAUUUAUAUUUUAAUCACUUAACUUUAAAAUGUUACAGAAUAGUCACUGAACUAUUUCAUUUAAGUCAUUGGGCUAUUAAAAUCAUCGUUGCACGGUCUUCUCUAUUUGCACCACUUGCACUAAUAGAACGUUUUCAUUCCACUUUUCUUAAAACAACUUUGAACAUUACAGUUUGUGAACCAAAAACCAAACGCUCUAACACUAUCUAUCAAAUCGACUUUGAUCUAAGGUAUAUCCUACUCGUCAACGGAUACUAAUCCACUGUAUCGACCUUCAGAUCGUCGUUUGGAACUCGCUAGUCAGAUUUUUUAAAAAAAAAAUCUUUAUAGCCCAUUGACUUAAAUGAAAACUUUCGAAUAAUUCAUUGACCAUUUUGUAACUUUUAAUAACCUUGGGUUAAUAUUCUUUUUCAUUGAAAUAACUUUUUUUUUCUUGAAAUCAAAGUAUUUUUUAUAUUCGUUUUACUGCCAAUGAAAAUUAAUCCUUUUGAGCUUCGUAGUAACAUUAUCUCUAAAAUUUGAAUAUAAAUUCCAUUUCUAAAAAUACAAUAUACCUUAUUUAUUUAAGUCAACAUUUUGUAAGGUUGAAGAUUAGUGUCAUUUUGUAUCCUCUGUAUCUUCAUCCAACUAAGUAAUAAAUAAAUAAAUUUAAAAAACAAAAAUAAUAGAUAAAGGUUACAAUCAUUGACUCGUAUAAAUAUGGUAAGGAUUAAAAUAUAAAUAAUGAAAAGUUGAUGAAGAUUAAAUAAUUAUUUGCUACACUAUAAAGCCAUGUGGAUCCAUAGAAAAAAGGAAAUAUUCUCAUUAUUUUUAUAUUAAUUAAUCAUUUGUAUAUUCAUAUUUGAUACAUGAACUUUGGUUCGAUGUGUAAUUUGGUACAUUAACUUCGAUUUUCAUAUUUGAUUAGUAUAAUUGUUUAUGUAUGCAGUAUAUCAACGUAAAAAUGAUGUUAAUUCGAUAAUUUUGUGAGUGACUUGUGAAAAUUAAAUCAAAUCAAAAUUCAUGUAUAAUUUUAAUAUUUAUCGCAAUCGUGAAAUUAAUAGUAAUUGAGACAGCCCUAACCUAAAUUAAUCAUAAAUACAUUAUGUAUAUCUUUUAUAAUCAACUUAUCUUUCAUGUCUGAUUUAUGGUCCAUAAAAACUAUUAUUUUUUAAAGUUCAUAACUGCUUCUCCCAACAAUAUCAUUGUUAUAAUAAACGUCGAUAAUGGCGGUAGAACGAUUGCAAAGCAAUAAGAAAAGAAAAAUAAGAACACAGAGAUUUUACAUGGAAGCCCUUUUGAGAAAAAAAAAACACGGGCAAAGGAGGAUAAAUUAACUAACACUGAAAAACGAAUGAUACUAGGGGAGUUUCGACUACAUCUAUUUAAGGGUUGAAAAACUCUGUUCUAAUCAAAGUGAAAUAGAAGAAGAAUAGUUAUAUACAUAUCCCCUUAUUUUGCCACUAUAUUUAUUUCUUCAACAAGUGAUAAAAUUCGGGUUACACAAUUUCUGACAAUCAUUUUUAAAACGAUAUAUAUUAGCUCUAUUCUAACUUCACAUCGAUCCAUUUAAGAGUAAAAGGACUGAUUAGAAAAUAAUGACAUAUUCAUUUACUUUGCAAGCAAAUUGAGUUUUAAUCCAAGACGUCUCCCCUUCUUGUUGUCUUGAUCAAGUUCAUCAGUAAUUUAAAUCUCUAGUAAUGAAACCAAAACAUGUUGCAAUCACUAGGACUUUCCUCACUACUCCUAGCUUAUUACCAAUUGACUAACCAUUAAAUAAUAAAAUAUUUUACCAUAAAAAAAUCACAAUUUGAGUUUUAGCUCGAUUGGUAUGGAUAUUGUUGUCAAUGCAGGAGGACGUGGGUUUGAGUGUGCUAUAGCGUAUUAUGGAUUGAGGAGGGACUAUGAAUAGUUCUAAGUAUUAUAUCAAAAAGAACAAAUAUGAUCAGAAUCUAUAAUGAGAUUGUUCAAAAAAUAAAUUUAUAUUAUAUAUAUAAAUUACGUGUGAAUUAUGUUUAAAUUUAAUUUAAUUUAAUUCAAUAAUACUAUGAAAUGAUUAAUUUAAAUUAUUAUUUAUUAUUGUAAUUUUUUUACAAAAAUAAUGCACUAAAUGCCAGCUUUGUUUACACGUUUUCCCUUUUUUAUUCUAUUAUUUCAUAUUGCCACCUCUUGCUUUAUCGAGAAACAAUAAAUUUAUUUUAAUGUUCCCCAAAUAUUUAUUUUGUUUUAUCUAUAUUCAAGAUUGAUGACGGUUUCUCCUACCCAUAAAUAGGAGAAUUAUAAAGAUAGAGAGAAUUUAAUUUCGGCCCUCUAAAAUUUUUUUCAGGCUUCGUCCCUGUCCCCAACCUAUAAAUAGAAGAAUAAUACACUUUAAUGCACUCGAACUCACGUCUUCCUACAUUGACAACAAUACCCAUAUUAAUUGAACUAAUAUUUAAUCGCAAAAAAUACCAAAAGUGGGCAUUACUUUUUAAGUUCUAAGAUAGUUUAUUUAUAGGAAAUUAAUUGACUUCUAGGAAUUGACACACUUGAUCCUUACAUAUAAUGUCUUAAAUGUGUGAAUGUAACAAAAACAGAAAUGCAUAUACCAAAUCUCUCUUCUUUUUUUUCCUAAUUUUAAAAUGUGAAUGCUCUUUAAAAAUAAAUGCCCAUUUCUAGAGUUUAUUCUUUUUUUGGAAGUAUUAUUUAUUUUAAUAAUGGAGAGUUUGACAAAACAUAUUACAAAACAAAUAAAAAAAUAUGGACAUAAUUAUUAUAAGUAGUAUAAAUUUAAGUCUUAACUCGACUGACAUGGACAUAAUUGUCAAUAUAGGAGGACGUAAGUUCGAGUAUGCUGAAGCACAUUAUCCUCCUAUUUAUGGGUUGAGGAGGGACUAUAAGUAAUUUUAGGGAUUAUGUCAAAAAGACCAUAUAUAAUCAGAAUCUAUACAUGAGUUGUAAAGUAUAGUAUAUGUUUUUAUUUUCACUUUUUCCUUAUAUUUUAUUAUUGUGUAUUGAAUUCAACUUUUUUAUAUUAAAUAAUAAAAAAAUAUUUUAUGUUUUUUAAAACCUAAAAAAUAAAGCAAGCAACUUGGUUUGCUCCAACUUUUUCAAGCAAAAGAAAGCAUCUUUUAUUUACAAAUGAUAUAAUUACUUGUUUUUAAAGGUUUUUUUUUUAUCAAUAUUUGAAAAAAAAAUUCUGCUAUUAGCCUCUAUAUUCUGUGAAAGUUGUGGAUUUAGUAUAUGUGCUUUAAUUUGAUAUUUUUAGUCAUUAUACUUUUUCAAAAUUCAAAAUUUCAACCCUCACCAAACGAUAAUUGUUAAAUUCAUUCAGUUUAAGUUCUGGUAUUUUCAAAAUCUGAUGUGACAAACAUAUUAUCAUAUGUGUAAUGCCAUGUCAGUUUAUUAUUUCUAUAUAUUACUCACUAAAGAUUCAGAUAAUGGAUUAACGAAGAUCUUUUGCAUCAAGACCGAAAUUUCAAAUUUUGAAACGUAUAGGGACCUAGAAUGCUCUAAUUAGAGAAAAAUGACUAAACCUACAACCGUAUGCAUAGUAUAUAACUAAUAAUUAAAUUUAACCGAAUAAAUUUAACUUCUACUAUUUAAAUAAAAACCAUGAAAAAAUCCAACAACUAGUACAAAACUAUACUUUCAUAUGAUUUUGAAAGGUAUCUUAGGGCAAGAAGCCCGUGAGUCAAAAUUAUGCUUAGGCAAAUGCAGCUCAUGAUUCGUUGUCAAUCAAUUUGCUUUAUAAUGACUAUGAACCCCUCCCCUCCCCAAAAGAAUGCUUCAACCAUAUGCUUUUUAAAGGGAAAAAUUAAUGUGAUUAUACUAUAGGCAUGCACCGACUGAGGAUAUAUUUACAGAAAAAAAUUAUAAUAAUUAAGAUCUAAAUAAAUCUUUAAACUUUACUUGAAAACUAAAACAAACCUUUAUAUAUUUUAUUAGUAAUAAAUUUUUGUUGAUCGAGUUUUAGCUCGAUUGGCAUAUGAGUAUUGUUGUCAAUGUAGGAGGGUAUGGGUUUGAGUUCAUUAUCCCCCUAUUUAUGGGUUGUGAAGGGGCUAUGGGGUAGUUCUAGACAUUGACAGAUAUAAUUAAAAUCUAUAAUGAGAUUGUUUAAAAGAAAAUUUUUGUUUCAUUGUAAUUAUAUCCAUAAUCGAUUUGAAGAUGAAUGAACAAGAUUCAAUUACCUGAUUUUUAAAAAAAAUAACAUUUCCUCAGUUACAUGUUUUUUAGUGGUAAAAGUAUCACGAAGGCCUCUGUACUAGAAGUCAGAUUGUAUUUUGUCCUCUUUACUCAAAAAAUGGAUAAAUUAGUCCUUGUACAUUCGAUCAAAGAGCAAUUUGGUCCUUUCUAUUGAAAAUUUCAUCCGUUUCUACUAUUAAAAACUGACAUGGUUGACGGAAUAACCAACUAGUUACACGUGGCGUGCCACAUUUACCUCAUUUUGAUGUACAGGGACCAGUUUUUAAUAUUAGAAAAAGAUGAAAUUUUUAAUAGGAGGACCAAUUUGCUCUUUGAUCUAAAAUAUAUGGACUAAUUUAUCCAUUUCUUGAGUAGAGGGGACAAAACGCAAUCUGACUCCUAAUACAAGGGCGUCUAUUGUACUUUUACCGUUAUCUAUCUCAUCCGAACAAUUUUAAGUUUUUGUUGCUAGUUCGCCUAUGAUCUCUGAUUUACGGUCAUCUGUGAUCGCUUGUGGCUUUUUUUUCAUUGGUCGGAUGUGGCCUUGUUCACUCAGUCGUCUGUGAUUGUUAUUUUCUUAGCCGAUCGGUGGUCAUGUAACCCUAUUUUUUCGUGAAUAAAUUUCCAAUAAACCAAAAAUAUAUUAUAAUAAAUAUGAUUAAAAUUAUAUGUUUAGUAUAUAAAAUGUAUUCAUAUUUAAACCAAACAUAUUUAAUAAUUUAUAUGAAAAGAUGAAGGAAAACGUGAGGCAAGCUAGUGCUAAGUAUCUUUUCAUCCGUGAGUCUUUUGACUAGAUCUUUAGUUCACGUAAAUCUCUUGCUAACACACACUAACAAGCUUGCUUUUUGGCUUUCGUUUUUGUUUCUUUUUUUCAACUUGGGGACGAGACGAGUAAAAAAAGUUGAACACAAAAUAGUAUUACGUACAUGUUAGUGGCCGAGGAUUCAAUCCUUGCCUUGGAUAUGGAGUAGUUUUAAAACUCAUGAUCAGCAUCUAUCCUCUUAUAGACCUGUAAAAUGUAGAGGAUUAAUUAUUGAACUCACUCCCGUAAAUACCUUCAGAAAUUUAAAAAAAAAUGAUAAUCAUAAGAAAUGAGUAAUCUCAAAUCUCAAACAUGAAGUUACAAAUGAUAUAGCAACAAUGGGAAAUUAGGAUGAAGAUAAUUCGAUUAUCUAGCUCAUUGGGGAGAGAGUUUUUCAUUGUAAUUGUAUGUGAGUGAGGUUGCAACAUUUGUGAGUUUAGUUGGUCUAAAAUCAUCUCUUGUAUUGUAAAGAUUAUAGUGAAUUUCCCUCUACAAAAGGCUCUCUAGAUGUAGAAUUGAAUACGAACUGCGUAAACAAUCACCUAUGUUUAUUAUUUGUUAUUUCAAUUUUAAAUUGUUUCUUAAGUCUCAACUAAACAAACAAUUAACUCAGCACUUACAGAGACUAUUUUUUAACACAUCAAAUCUAAAUUGUUCGUGCGGUAGGUGUAGAUGUGUUUAAAAUUAGUUCUACCUGUUUUAAGUGUAUUCUACGUCAUAUCAAAACUUGCAUUUAGUGCCUAAUUUGAAUCAUAAGAAAUAUUUGAUGGAAUUAACUGGUAAAAGUACCAUAGAGGCCCUUGUACUAAGAGCCAGAUUUUAUCUUGCCCCUCUACUCAAAAAAUGGAUAAAUUACUCCUUGUAUGUUGGAUCAAAGAGCAAAUCGGUCAUUCUGUAAAAAAAUUUCAUCAAUUUUUACUGUUAAAAAUUGGUCUCUAUAUGUUAGCAUGAGAUACAUGUGACACACCACAUGUUAUUGUCUGGUUAUUUUGUCAGCCGCAUCAAUUUUUAAUAAUAGUAAAAAUGGAUGAAUUUUUUAACAAAAAUGAUCGAUUUGCUCUUUGAUUUAACAUAUAAAAACUGAUUUACCUAUUUUUCGAGUAAACAAAAUAAAAAACAAUCUAACUCUUAGUAUAGGAGUCUCUAUAAUUUUUUACCGAAUUAACCCUUUUAAUUUUAUAUGAAGGAAGGUUACAAUAUUAUCAAAGAAAUGAAAAGCCUAGAGAGAGGGGAAUGCACUACUACUCCUUUGACUUAGCCCCUUAGAGUCACAUCUAGCUUCAAUACCACAAAAACUAAAGCCAUGAUUACACUUUAAAUAAUUGCUUAUAGUUUCUUCAUCUAGAUUGACUAGAAAGGGGAAGAAGAUACCUUUUCCUAACUAAAAUGAACACCGUUCAAAUUGGGAGGGGCAUUUUCAUUUUUCUACCCAUGAUUCUAUGUGUCAUUUUCUUCACCAUGGUAUUUGCAUUUACAUGUGCUUCCAUGGCCUCGUUUACACCACAUUUUUUUAUUGGGGGGGUGGGGGUCCUAUUGCAUUUUCUUUACAUUUAGAUCAUGAGAGUUCUUUAUAUCAUAAAUUUGACUUCAUGAACCCAGGGAUUAGAUCAAUAAUUCAUCUAUCCAUUUUAAGUGAUGAAUUUUUAGUUGGGUUAGAUUUCGGUUUCAGUGUGAAUUUUAUGGUAUUCAAAAUAUUCGAAUUUUGCAGAAGAAAUUAUUGGAAGUGAUAGUUACGAGCCUUGAAAGAUUUUAGUUUGUACGGACCAUAAUUCCCUAAAUAUAUGUGGGUGAUAGAGUAUAAUCACAUCAUAAUUCCACAUAUCAUAUUGGUAGUAUGAACUGUAGUUAUAAACUGUAUAUUUUUAAAUCAUGAAAAAUAAUAUUAAUUAUUAUAAAAAAAUAUUCAAUAAUACUUGAGAAAAAAUUCAUUAAGUAUCAAAAAGUCAAAUCAUAUAUAUAAUAUGUUAAGUUAUUUAAUUUUAUCUAAUUACUCUAGCAUUUCAUUUUUAUUAAACUAUUUCCUCCGUACCAUUAAAAAUAGUCAUUGUCGUCAUCGAUGGGUUCUUGAGAAAUAUAAAUAUUUAAUAAUAAAUACUAAUUAAAUAUUUAGUAGCUUAAAAUGUGUGAAAAUUAUCUCUCGUCAAUAAAAAUUUCAAAAUAUAAUUAUAUUUUGAAAAACAAAAUAUUUCUUAAAAUUAAAAUUCUACUAUUAUUGUAUAAAAAUAAUUUUUUAAACUUAAAUAAUGAAUGUGUAUGUUUGAAAAGUCAUAGGACAUGUUAGAGUUAUGUGACCCGAAUCUCGUCAUUUGUUAAAAAAAUAAAAUAGAGAGGCAAAAUAGGUGUAGUCGAACUUCUUUUGUAUCAUUUGUUUUUCAACAUAAGUGAAUUUCUCCUUCUCUACUCAUGGUUUUUCCCGAUAAAAGUUUUACAUAUAAAAUUUUUCUUUCUUAUUACUUUGCGAUCAUUCCUAUUAUCAUUAUCGACGUUUAGAAUAACAGGGUAAUUGGAUUUGAGACCAAUUGUUUGUAAUUACCCCAAUUCUCACGCUUUUCCUAAAAAUUGAAAAGCGUAAUUGGGAUACUCUAAUUACACUCAAUUCAAUAGGAUCUACUAAUUACGAUGCUUACCUAAACAUGUCACAUAUGUAUAAUUACAAGCAAUUACACUUAAAUUCAAUCAUCGUAUUAAGUAAACAAUUUGCUGGUCAUCAAUGUAAUUUUCAUCUAAUUUAUCUUAUUAUGAAUGAUUCCAUUGAAAAUGUAUGAUGAUUUCGUUGUAAUUUCUUCUACAUAUAUGAACGUGUCCUAUGAAAUAACACUAAUUAAUGUACUUUAAAACGUGUGCAUGAAUCAUCCAAUUAAUUAUAAGUUUAAUGUUUCAUUGUUCAUGGUGCUAAUUAAUUAAUUUUUCGAAUUUGAGGCCGACAGAAUAUAAACGGUCAUAAAUUGGACAAAAAUUAAUCCAACAAUUUGUCCAUAGUGUUAAAACAAAAGCUAAUAACCUUGGAUUAAAGCCGUUGAUUGAGGUCCAUUUCAUUACAACGUGGACUCUAAGCAAUGGAUUAAUGAAAAUUAUUCAUAGUGUUUAUCUAAUUAUAUAUAUAAAUCAAAUGUAUUAUUCUUUGGCUUAAAAUUGUCGAAAUUUAUAACAAAGAAUGUAAUUGAUGGAGAAAUUUUCAUGAACAACCCUAAUAGAUACGACCUUUCCAAUAGAAUUUUAUCGAUAGUUCCAUCUAGUAAGUUGUUAUAAUAAACGUCGAUAAUAGCAAUAAAACAAUCACAAAACAAUAAGAAAAUAGAAAAUAAGGACACAUAGAUUUUAUGUGGAAAACUCUUUUGGAAAAAAUCACGGGCAAAGUAGGAGUUCCAACUACAUCUAUUUAAGGGCUGAAAAACUCUCUUCUAAUCAAAGUCAAAUAGAACAAGAAUAGUUCUAUACGGACCCUCGGUCCUUCGCCCCUAUAGAUCCCCUUAUUUUACCACUGUAUUUAUUUCUCCAACAAGUGAAACGAUUCGAGUCAAACAAUAUCUAACAUAAGUGAUUUGUAAGAAAUUAAAAUUCGGGGAUUAUUAAAAAAUGCAGCUUACAAAUUGAAUUGAUUAAUUUAACUGCUUGAAUCGAAAAUUAGUUGAUAGAACAACUCAACAAUAUAAGUUAUUAAAUUGGAAAAUGUUAAGAAAUGGCUUAAAAUUGGUAGUGGAUUGUUGUUGUUGGUAGUGGGUUGUUGGUGGUAGUGGAUUAGUGGAUGGUUGUUGGUGUCCAUUUUCAACCACAAAUCUUUGCCAAAGUUUUGGACAAUUAUGUCCUUGAACUCUCUUAUAAAUAGAGAGGUUCAUUAGCCAUAUUGAUCAUCCCAAACCAAGAGAGAGCAAAGCUUGUUCUUUGAAAGCUAGGAUUUUAGCUUUCGGGUUUUCUAUAGGGGUUGAGAGUUGUGAGGUUCUCGGGUUGUGUCUUGAGUGUAAAACACUUGUAAUCUUCAUCUUGUUAUAGUGAAAUUUCUUUUCGCCUCUGCCCGUGGACGUAGGCAUUAAAGCCGAACCACGUAAAUCCUUGUGUUCACUUCAUUUUUCGUUUCGGUCAAUUUACUUGUAGUCAUAUCGGAGUUCUCGAAUCGAUCCUUUCCGCAACAAAUUGGUAUCAGAGCGUAGUUGAAGGAGUGAUAAUAUUUUCUGAAUUGCCCUGUGACUGCAGCUUUGUCUGAUCUUUCACAUCAGGAAGAAAAUAUUAUCAUUCAUUCAAAGGUUCCAAAUUAUGGCUACAAGUGUUUCAUCGACUAAGUAUGAUGUCGAGAAAUUUACCGGGAAAAAUAGUUUCAGUUUAUGGCGCAUCAAGAUGCGGGCAGUGCUGGUUCAACAAGGAUUGCUAAAAGCAUUGUCUGGUAAAGAUAAAUUACCAAGCACGCUUUCGGAAGAGCAAAAGGAUGACAUGCUAGAAAGAGCACAUAGUGCUAUUCUGCUAUGUCUAGGAGAUGAAGUGCUACGAGAAGUAGCGGAUGAGAAAACCGCGUCCGGUUUGUGGCUCCGGUUAGAGAGCAAGUACAUGACGAAGUCAUUGACGAACCGGCUCUACCUCAAGCAAAGACUCUAUGCCCUGAAGAUGGAGGAAGGUACACCUGUUUCCCAGCACCUGGAUAAAUUCAAUUCCAUUAUCAUGGAUUUGAAUAAUAUCGAUAACAAAAUCGAUGAUGAGGACCAAGCAAUAAUUGUUUUGUGUUCUUUGCCUCCCUCGUAUGAGAAUUUUGUUGAUACAAUGAUGUACGGUCGUGAUGACCUGACUCUAGAGGAGGUGAAAAAUGCCUUAAGUUCCAGUGAGUUGAGGAAGAAAAUCACUGGUAAGGUGGUCGAAAACAAUGAAGGCGAAGGCUUGGUUGCUCGAGGAAGAUCCAAGGCAAAGGGUGGAAGUUCAAGUAAAAGCCAUCCUAGAUCGCAGUCCAAGAAGAGAAUACAGUGCUACUACUGUAAGAAGUACGGGCACAUGAAGGUAGAUUGUCCGAAAAGGAAGGAGAAAUCAGAAUCACAGGAGCAACAAAAUGAUCGUGCGAAUGUAGCUGAUGCAGAUUCUUCAAGUGAUGCCGAGAUCGUUCUUGCAGUAUCCGACUCUUACGCUGGUGGGAGAUGGAUUCUUGAUACGGGAGCUACAUUUCAUAUAAGUACUUCGAAAGAUGCAUUCUCAACAUACGAGAAGCAUUCUGGUUCAGUACUAAUGGGAAAUGACCACGCAUGUCAAGUCAUAGGGAUUGGCACAGUUCGUAUAAAGAUGUUUGACGGUAUUGUUAGAACUCUAACUGAUGUUCGGCACAUUCCAGAAAUGAAGAAAAAUUUGAUCUCUUUGAGUACGUUGGACAAGAAAGGCUUUCGGUACUCUGCUGAAGGUGGAGUUCUCAAGGUAUUCUCGGGUGCUUUGACUGUGAUACGUGGUAAUUUGGAGCGGGGCCUUUACUUCCUCGAUGGUUCCUCGGUUACAGGUGUUGCGGGAGUGUCAUCAUCAGAUGAUCUAGAUUCUGACACCACGAAGUUAUGGCAUAUGCGGCUCGGGCAUAUGAGCGAGAGAGGCUUAUCGGUGCUAAGCAAACGAGGAUUAUUGUCUGGGCAGUGUACAGGAAAGUUGAAUUUCUGUGAGCACUGCGUCUUCGGUAAGCAGACUCGGGUAAAGUUCAGCACUGGGAUUCACAAGACAAAAGGCACAGUGGAUUACUUCCAUUCUGACCUUUGGGGGCCUUCUCCGACAAUUUCUAAAGGUGGUUACAGAUAUCUGCUUACCUUUAUCGAUGAUUACUCGAGAAAGGUUUGGGUGUAUUUUCUGAAGAGCAAGUAUGAGGUUCUCAUCAACUUCAAGCAAUUUAAAGCUUUGAUCGAAAAUCAAACAGGAAAGAAGAUCAAGCGAUUCCGGACGGAUAAUGGCUUGGAGUUUUGCUCAGGUGAAUUCAAUGAGUUCUGCAAGAAUGAAGGAAUAGUGAGACACCGCACUGUUCGUCGAACACCACAACAAAAUGGAGUUGCAGAACGCAUGAAUAGAACUCUCUUGGAGCGAGCUCGUUGCAUGCGAUCAAAUGCUGGGCUCGGUGAAGAAUUUUGGGCUGAAGCUGUUAAUACUGCUUGUUAUUUGGUUAACAGAUCUCCGUCAACAGCUAUUGAGCUGAAGACUCCUGAGGAAGUAUGGUCUGGUUCUCCUGCUGAUUACUCUGGUUUAAGAGUGUUUGGCUGCCCUGCGUAUGCUCAUGUAAAUGAGGGAAAACUCAAACCGAGGGCGAAGAAAUGCAUAUUUCUUGGAUACGGCCAAGGGGUGAAAGGAUACAGGUUGUGGUGUCCUGAUCCGGUUUCGUCCAAGUUCAUCAUCAGCAGAGAUGUGACUUUUGAUGAGUCAUCCAUGCUUCGAUCCACCACAAAUUCCCGGGAAAAGGAGGAGUCAGAUAGAAUGGGAGAUCACGGUGUUGAGAAGCAGGUGGAGUGUCAGGUGGACGCUCCAAUUCCUACGGAAGGUACUUCAGUCCAGGAUGAUCAAGUUGAGGUGCAAGAUUCCGAUGAAGAUGAGUCACCUCAAGAAAAACCAUAUAGCAUUGCCACUGGAAGAACGAAGAGACAAAUCAAACCAAAUCCGCGUUACGCUAAUCUGGUGUCUUUCGCGCUCAGUGUGGCGGAGUCCAUUGGUAUAGAACCUUCCAGUUAUAAUGAGGCUGUCACGUGUGAUGAGUCGGCACAGUGGGCAAUUGCUAUGAGUGAGGAGAUAGAAUCUCUUCACAAGAACCAUACUUGGGAGUUGGUUAAGCCGCCAAGUAACCAGAAGAUAGUUGGUUGCAAAUGGGUCUUCAAGAAAAAGGAAGGCAUCCUAGGGGUUGAAGCAACUAGAUUCAAGGCACGAUUGGUUGCUAAAGGCUUCACUCAGAAAGAGGGGAUUGACUACAAUGAAGUUUUCUCCCCAGUCGUAAAGCAUUCUUCCAUUCGUGUAUUACUUGCCAUGGUGGCCAAGUCUGAUCUAGAACUUGAGCAGCUUGACGUAAAAACGGCGUUCUUGCAUGGUGAGCUCGAGGAAACAAUCUACAUGCGUCAACCAGAGGGUUUUACAGUUCCUGGUAAAGAAGACCAUGUCUGUCUAUUAAAGAAGUCUUUAUAUGGAUUGAAACAAUCCCCAAGGCAGUGGUACAAGCGGUUUGAUAGCUUCAUGAUUCAGCAUGGUUACACAAGAUGUGACUAUGAUGCUUGUGUCUAUCAUCGGAAGCUCUCAGAUGGUUCGCACAUUUAUUUGUUGCUGUAUGUUGAUGACAUGUUAAUUGCUUCCAAAAACAUGUCGGAAAUCAACAAGUUAAAGUCGCAGUUGAGUGGUGAGUUCGAGAUGAAGGAUCUGGGUGCUGCCAAGAAAAUUUUGGGCAUGGAUAUUCACAGAGAUCGCAAGGCGGGCAAGCUUCGUGUGUCGCAGAAGAACUACAUUGAAAAGGUUCUUCAACGCUUCGGCAUGGAUAAAGCGAAAACUGUGAGUACUCCGUUGGCACCACAUUUCAAACUCUCUGCAGAGUUGUCACCACAAUCUGAUGAAGAAAAGCAGCAAAUGUCUCACAUUCCAUACUCGAGUGCAGUUGGAAGCGUGAUGUAUGCAAUGGUUUGCACUCGUCCAGACAUUUCACAUGCAGUUAGUGUGGUCAGCAGAUACAUGAGUUGUCCUGGCAAGGAACACUGGCAGGCCGUGAAAUGGAUUCUCAGGUACUUGAGAGGUUCUGCAGAUUUAUGCUUGGUAUAUGAUCAGAGUGACUGCACUAGCAGUGUCACGGGCUAUGUGGACUCUGAUUAUGCUGGAGAUCUGGACAAAAGAAGAUCUCUGACGGGUUAUGUUUUCACUUAUUCUGGAGGAGCCAUUAGUUGGAAAGCUGUGUUACAGUCUACCGUAGCCUUAUCUACGACUGAGGCGGAAUAUAUGGCGUUAGCAGAAGCAGUGAAAGAAGCAUUGUGGAUGAAAGGUCUAGUAAGCAGUUUGGGUUUACAACAGGAUUUCACUGUUGUAUUUUGCGAUAGCCAGAGUGCCAUACAUCUGACUAAAAAUCAGAUGUUUCAUGAACGGACCAAACACAUUGAUGUCAGAUAUCAUUUUGUUCGGGAACAUGUUACGCAAGGUGACAUUGUUAUCAGCAAGGUUGCUACCGAGAAGAAUCCUGCAGAUAUGUUAACUAAGGUGAUCCCUGCAUAUAAGUUCAAGCAUUGCUUGGACUUGAUAGGUAUUCGGGAUUGAUUAGCGCCAGAGAGGCGUUUGGAAGAGGUGAUCCAGUUCGAGGAAUUCACUAUGAUGUUCAGCUUGGUAAAUUUCAAGCCAAGGUGGAGAUUUGUUAAGAAAUGGCUUAAAAUUGGUAGUGGAUUGUUGUUGUUGGUAGUGGGUUGUUGGUGGUAGUGGAUUAGUGGAUGGUUGUUGGUGUCCAUUUUCAACCACAAAUCUUUGCCAAAGUUUUGGACAAUUAUGUCCUUGAACUCUCUUAUAAAUAGAGAGGUUCAUUAGCCAUAUUGAUCAUCCCAAACCAAGAGAGAGCAAAGCUUGUUCUUUGAAAGCUAGGAUUUUAGCUUUCGGGUUUUCUAUAGGGGUUGAGAGUUGUGAGGUUCUCGGGUUGUGUCUUGAGUGUAAAACACUUGUAAUCUUCAUCUUGUUAUAGUGAAAUUUCUUUUCGCCUCUGCCCGUGGACGUAGGCAUUAAAGCCGAACCACGUAAAUCCUUGUGUUCACUUCAUUUUUCGUUUCGGUCAAUUUACUUGUAGUCAUAUCGGAGUUCUCGAAUCGAUCCUUUCCGCAACAGAAAAUAAUAAUAAAAGUAAAUGAUUUGUUACAAAAUGACUUCAUAUUCUUAUCCUAAAGAAACAGAUGAAUCUUCUAAUUUGUUCUUGUGACUACCAAUGAAAAUUAAUUAUCUAUGAUCAUUUACUUCUUUCUAGGAAAGUCCUUAAGGAUGAAACUUGAAAAUAACAUUUAAUUAUAAUUUUGAAUAAAAUAUUUUAUUAUUAUAUGAUGAUUCUGUGGACAUUAUCUGAUGUUGUUAAUGCCAAUCAAAUUUUAUAUUAAAAGCUUAAUAAUUAGUAAAAUGAGUUUAAACUACAUCAAAUGCAGAGAUUGAAGAAUUUUAUCCAAAGGUCCUGAGAAUAUGAUUUUUGUCAAAUCAUUCGUUAUCUUGUUGCCUUCUCUGAAAAUAUGUAUUAAGCGAAUUGUCCAAUCAUAUUGGAGAAGCUCCUUGAUAUUACGAAUCACAGAUGAACCAUGCUGCUCCUUUCAUUAGUGAUUGUGACAAGCACAAAUAUUUAGAUAUUUAAUUAGUGAGGCUACCU
rnacentral:lncRNA from 1 species